rnacentral:lncRNA from 1 species
UGCCCCUCAGUCUAUCCAUCCAUCUGCACAUAGAUCCUCAACGGAUCAUACAUGAUGCAGCGAAGGUUCGUCAGCCGGAUGAACGCAAAGGCAGCAGCGGUUCUGCUCCUUGUCCUGCUCGUAUCCCACGCGUCAUCCGCAGAAUGUAAGUGCAUGUGAUUUCUGCAAGUGGUUAUCGUCGCCGUUUUACGUAAAUAAUAUCUGAUGCAAUGUACUGUAUUACGGUACUUGGUGCAGGCCGUGAGGUGCGGGGAUCAGGCGGCCGUCGUCUGGAUUUCGAGAUCCGAAGCCGCGGCGGCGCCGGCAAGGUCAGCCUUGACGUGUGUCCGCCA